rnacentral:rRNA from 1 species
AGUGAACGCUGGCGGUAGGCCUAACACAUGCAAGUCGAACGGCAGCACAGUAAGAGCUUGCUCUUACGGGUGGCGAGUGGCGGACGGGUGAGGAAUACAUCGGAAUCUACUUUUUCGUGGGGGAUAACGUAGGGAAACUUACGCUAAUACCGCAUACGACCUACGGGUGAAAGCAGGGGAUCUUCGGACCUUGCGCGAUUGAAUGAGCCGAUGUCGGAUUAGCUAGUUGGCGGGGUAAAGGCCCACCAAGGCGACGAUCCGUAGCUGGUCUGAGAGGAUGAGCAGCCACACUGGAGCUGAGACACGGUCCAGACUCCUACGGGAGGCAGCAGUGGGGAAUAUUGGACAAUGGGCGCAAGCCUGAUCCAGCCAUACCGCGUGGGUGAAGAAGGCCUUCGGGUUGUAAAGCCCUUUUGUUGGGAAGGAAAAGCAGCAGGUUAAUACCCCGCUGUUCUGACGGUACCCAAAGAAUAAGCACCGGCUAACUUCGUG